rnacentral:misc_RNA from 1 species
GAUGAAGAACGCAGCGAAAUGCGAUACUUGGUGUGAAUUGCAGAAUCCCGUGAACCAUCGAGUCUUUGAACGCAAGUUGCGCCCGAAGCCUCGGCAAAGGGCACGUCUGCCUGGGCGUCACGCAUCGCGUCUCCCCCAAACCGCCAAGGCGGAGGGGAAGGAAGAUGGCUUCCCGUGCCUCACCCGGCGCGGUUGGCCUAAAUUUGGAGCCCGCGGCACUUAGCUCUCGCGGCGAUAGGUGGUGAACAAAGCCUUGGCCGUGCAAACAACCCGCUGCGAAGCUCUAUGUCACGUGACCUCGUCGGACCCUUUGAAGUUGCCUUCGGUGACUAAAAACCUUUGCGACCCCAGGUCAGGCGGGGCUACCCGCUGAAUUUAAGCAUAUCAAUAAGCGGAGAA